CACAGAUGAUGGCUCUUUCUCAUGACGGUCUGCGGAUGCUGCUGUGGGCAGUGCCAAAAAUGGCAAUAGCUCAGCUGAUGCCAGGAA